AACUUCUGAAUGUUGACCUCGGAUCAGGUAGGAAUACCCGCUGAACUUAAGCAUAUCAAUAAGCGGAGG
rnacentral:rRNA from 2 species